AUUGAACGCUGGCGGCAGGCUUAACACAUGCAAGUCGAGCGGGGUGAUGGUGCUUGCACUAUGACUUAGCGGCGGACGGGUGAGUAAUGCUUAGGAAUCUGCCUAUUAGUGGGGGACAACAUCGCGAAAGGGAUGCUAAUACCGCAUACGCCCUUCGGGAGAUAGCAGGGGAACACUUGUGACCUUGCGCUAAUAGAUGAGCUUCAGUCGGGUUAGCUAGUGGGUGGGGUAAAGGCCUACCAAGGAGACGAUCUGUAGCGGGUGUGGGAGGAUGAUCCGCCACACUGGGACUGAGACACGGCCCAGACUCCUACGGGAGGCAGCAGUGGGGAAUAUUGGACAAUGGGGGGAACCCUGAUCCAGCCAUGCCGCGUGUGUGAAGAAGGCCUUAUGGUUGUAAAGCACUUUAAGCGAGGAGGAGGCUCUUUUGGUUAAUACCCAAGAUGAGUGGACGUUACUCGCAGAAUAAGCACCGGCUAACUCUGUGCCAGCAGCCGCCGUAA
rnacentral:rRNA from 1 species